UACGGAGGGAGCUAGCGUUGUUCGGAAUUACUGGGCGUAAAGCGUACGUAGGCGGCUUUGUAAGUCAGAGGUGAAAGCCUGGAGCUCAACUCCAGAACUGCCUUUGAGACUGCAUCGCUUGAAUCCGGUAGAGGUUAGUGGAAUUCCGCGUGUAGAGGUGAAAUUCGUAGAUAUUCGGAAGAACACCAGUGGCGAAGGCGGCUCACUGGACCGGUAUUGACGCUGAGGUGCGAAAGCGUGGGGAGCAAACAGG
rnacentral:rRNA from 1 species